rnacentral:rRNA from 1 species
UAACCAGCGUCAAGCAGAAACGACUAUAUAUUAUAAUUUUUGAAGUUUCUGCUUCACGCCAAAUCAAGUGCCAACACAAAGGGAGCUGAGUAUUGAAUGUUGAAUGCAGGAUAGCGGCGGACGGGUGAGUAACGCGUGGGCAACCUGCCUCAUACAGGGGAUAACACAGGGAAACUUGUGCUAAUACCGCAUAAUAUCAUUGGGUGGCAUCACCUGAUGAUCAAAGGAGAAAUCCGGUAUGAGAUGGGCCCGCGUCCGAUUAGUUAGUUGGUGAGGUAACGGCUCACCAAGGCGACGAUCGGUAGCCGAACUGAGAGGUUGAUCGGCCACAUUGGGACUGAGACACGGCCCAGACUCCUACGGGAGGCAGCAGUGGGGAAUAUUGCGCAAUGGGGGAAACCCUGACGCAGCAACGCCGCGUGAAGGAAGAAGGCCUUCGGGUUGUAAACUUCUUUGAUUGGGGACGAAGGAAGUGACGGUACCCAAAAAACAAGCCACGGCUAACUACGUG